rnacentral:rRNA from 1 species
UAGGGAAUAUUGGGCAAUGGGCGAAAGCCUGACCCAGCCAUGCCGCGUGGGCGAUGACGGUCCUCGAGAUUGUAAAGCUCUUUUCUGAGGAAAGAACAUCCCGGGUAGGAAAUGCCCCGGGCUUGACGGUACCUCAGGAAUAAGGAACGGCUAACUCCGUGCCAGCAGCCGCGGUAAUACGGAGGUUCCAAGCGUUGUUCGGAAUUACUGGGCGUAAAGGGAGCGCAGGCGGACAAGUCAGUCUAAAGUGAAAUCCCGGGGCUUAACCUCGGACUUGCUUCGGAUACUGCUUGUCGUGAGUUCGUGAUAGUAAGAUGGAAUUCAGGGUGUAGCGGUGAAAUGCACAGAUAUCCUGAGGAACACCGGUGGCGAAAGCGGUCUUCUGGCGCGAAACUGACGCUGAGGCUCGAAAGCGUGGGUAGCAAACG